CGUAGUCUCGAUCCUGGUUUGUGUGGCCGGGUUGGAAGUUUAAGGGUUUACCGAAGACUGGGAGCUGAGCAGUGCUCCUGGGCUGGGCGGGAGCGGGCCCUGCAUGGUUUAGUUUCUUUUCCGUAUAACGUCUGCUGCCGCGUAUACCCGCCAUCUUUCUGUCUUUGAAGGAUGCUUCGGCCAGGUCCGGGCUUUUUGCCUUCCAAAACUGGCGCGGCGAAACGCGGCAGUGCUCUACUCCACCCUCAUCCGUGAACGCCAGGUCCGCCCCGGCGCAGCCAGCUGCGGGCUCCCAGGGCUGGGAGCUCGGGGACCCUCGGGAGCCUCCGACCCGACCCCACGCCUCCUCGCGGCCUCUGGCCUUGCCAGCCCCAGGGGCCCGGAACUUCAUCUGGGCCGCUUCUUCCGGGCCAGCGAGAGUCCAGGUGUACGACCCCGUCUUUCUCCUCUGAGAUGAGCUUUUACCGGUUCCUGAGCGACCAUGGGCUUCCUGGAGCCCCGACCUCGGCCCGGGAGCCCCUAUUCCUGGGGCAGAGGUUCCCCUAGCUUCCCACUUGCGCCCUGGGUCUCCUCCUCGGGCCCACCAGCCGCGGUGCCCCAGCACUUUCCAGAGAGCCCCUGGGCAGCAGCAAAGCCAGCCACUGGCAGCACUCCCGCUUACCCCGACUUUACUCCAGUGGGAGAUUCCCCUGGAGAGAUGCUAAGUCUCUGCAGAGAUUGAGAGAGGAGAGGGAAGGGAAAGGAAAAGGAAAUUAAGAUGUUUUAUGGAUGCGCAUCACUUCCCCACAAGGAAUGUAAGCAUUGUGACUGUUACACACAUGUACUAAUAACUAAAAGUUAAAAAAUCUAUGCCCAGGGAGGUUCGCCUCAGUACUAUUUAUAAGGGCAACCUAGGUGCCCAUCAGUGGGGACAGUGUUCUCGUAUGCAGUCCAGCUUUCCUGCACAGCCCCAGUAACACGCAGCUGUGCGCAUCUUUAUAUGCUGGAAGUCUUUGAAACCAACUGGAGGACAGAGGCCAAGAGUGGAGUUUCGACCACUUGUUAUAUCACGUUUAUAUUAUGUUUUGCAAGUAGAUGAAUAAAUACCAAGCAGUGAGCCAGAAUCUGGGCAGUCACCCACGCUGUGACUGACAGGGAUGGCACCCAGCAUAGGACCUGCUCAAUAACGGUGCCAGAUUGUGAGACUUACAGACAUUGUACAAAUCGGUCCUGAAAAUCAAAAAAUUUUAUAGUGGGCUCGGGAGUAUUUGGCAGAACUCCUGUGAGCCACAUCAGGUUAAACAAAGGCCUUCGUGUUUGUUAACUGAAAAUGUCACACUUUCUGGUUUGAUAUACAUUAUAUUGUGGAAUUUUCAAGAAACUGGAGAGACCAGGUGGAGUUUUUCAGGAGGGCUUUAAUAGUGCAGUGCCCCAGCCACUAGAAAUGCUCAGAACCAACAAGUCCCCUUUUGUACAAUUUAUAGUGUUAAGCUGGUAGAGAUACAGAAGUGAAACAAAGGCAGUCAGUCAUUCUAGCAACUAACCUUAUCUUAGCCUUGAAAGAAAACACAUGGUGUGCAUUUCAGAAUGUUAGGAUACUGUGAAGCUUGUAACCCCACUUGUUAGUUUUAUCACUGCUGGUACUUGGUAUUGUUCCUCUAAGGGAGGAGAUUCCCAGGAGAAAACGGCGUGAAGUAUCUCCCUUAUCAAUGAGAAAAACAAGGGCCUUGGUAAGUUGCCCAGGCUGAACUUGAACUUGCACCCCUCCUGCCCCAGCCUUGCAGAGUUCUGGGAUUACAUGUGAGUACUGCUGUGUGUGGCUCCUCCCUUUUCUUCAUCAAGAUUGUUUUGGGUAUCCAAGGACCUUUUCAAUUCUUUAUGAACUUGAGAGUUAGUUUUGCCAUUUCUAUGAAAAGAGCAAUUGGAAUUUUGGUAGGGAUUGCAUUGGAUUUAUGGGCUACUUUGGGUGGAGUGAGCUUGGCCUGGGUCACAUGACCUGACUGAGACCCAAUAGGUUAUCCAAAAUCAAUUCCCUAUGGUGGCGAGGCACACUAACACAGUGAAGGCCUCAGCAGUUUGACUGAUCCGGAGGGGAGGGGCCAGCAUACGUUGCCCUUGUUUGCAACUCACUAGCACACGGCAGUGGGAAGGAUCACCUAGCCAGCAUGCUUCAGAAGACUUGUAACCAACAAAGAAAGAAACUGGGGCCUCCUGAAGAAACAAAAAAGAUGGAAAGAGGAAGCAAUAAGAAUAAGUCCCCAGGUCCCAACCCUGAGAACACUGACCCAGGACAGGCAAAUACAAAGGAGAAUGACAACAGCAAAUAUGCAGUAUCAGACACGGCACCAGUGGACAUAAAGAGUUAUCUUUGGGACCUUAUAGACAAGAUCAAAAGUGAAAUAUUUAGCCAAGUAAAGCAAGAUAUAAAAGAUUAACAAAAGAGAUGCUAAGCAGCCCUCAAGAAGACACAGAUGGGAGAAUGGAGGAACUCAAACAAAGGAGAGAACCACUUGAUGAAGAAUAUAAAGAAAAUAUAGAAUACAUGAAGCAGAUUCAAAGAGAUUACCAGGAAAUUAAAAACUCUAUGGAAAGAUGGCAAAACUGCUUGAAAGAAACUUAGGAUAGAUUACCCAAACUGGAGGACAGUUUUGCAGUGUGGGAGUAUGAAAGGGAAAACUUUUUAAAAAUAACAAGGAAACAAGUAGUAACAAUACAAAGACUAGAAGAUGACAAAAGGAUCUAUAACUUGAGAAUAAAGAAUGUGAAUGAAGAAGCUGGGGUACAAACAAAGAAACUACAAAGGCUAUUCACAGAAAUAAUUAAGGAAAACUUCCCAAACAUAGGAAAAGGAAAUGAUAUGCAGAUGUAUGAGGCAUACAGAACUCCAGCCACCUACAACCAAAGCAGAGCUACACUCAGACAUAUAAUAAUCAAGAUCCCAGAAAUUCAGUAUAAGAACAGAAUAUUAAAAGCUGUUAGAAACAAGACACAGAUAACCUAGAAAGGAGGGCCCAUCAGAAUAAUGGCAGACUUCUUGGCACAAACCAUCAAGUCUAGAAGAGCCUGGAGAGAAAUAUUCCAAGCCCUGAAAGAAAAUAACCUCUGGCCCAGAUUGAUAUAUCCUACUAAACUGUCUCUAGAAAUUGAUGGAGAAACAAGAUGCUUCCAAGACAAAGAGGAACUUGGGAAAUUCGCGACCACCAAUCCAAGUCUACAGAGAAUACUGCAGGGCAUUCUAGAGAGAGAGAAAAGUACUAGGAUUCCAGGAACAAUUGCAGAGAGGCCUCAAUGAAUGGAGCAGAAAACAGAAUGAAGAAGACAAGCAGACAACUGAUGGCAAAAAAAGAGCACAACAUAAAUGAGGCAGAGAAGGCUGGUUAUAAUCUCUAAUAUAGAUGACCUUGAUACACUAAAUUAAAAAAAAAAAGAACCACACGUAGAGUAGAUCAGGCGGUAAGGUCCACUGAGAUGCUAUUUAUAGGAAAUGUAAUUAACAUGAAAAAGAGUACAUGGACUGAAAAUCAAAUAUGAGAAAACAAUGCUCUAUGUGACACAGAACCAAAGAAUAAAAGGAGCCACUAGACCAGUAUUUGUGGAUAGGUUGGAAAGACAGGCUUUAAUAGGUAAAGAAACACAAUUAGAGAUCAAGUCCAGGAGACAGAAGGUUCAGAAGCACUUAGGUAAAUAGCAGGUUGCCCCCUGCAAUUUAAAAUCAAGGGUCUUGGUGAGACCCAAAAAUGCACAGUGUACUCUGGGGAAGUGAAAGGGCAGGGAGAGUCAUAAAAAAAGGAUGGCAGAAGAUAUUGUUAAUAGUGUAUCAGGGUUUAAAACCCACAUUACUUGGGGCUGGGGAUUUAGCUCAGCGGCAUAAGCACCUGCCUUGCAAGCAGGUGGUCGUGAGUUCAAUCCCUGGUACCGAUAAAAAUGAAAAAGACAAAAGAAAAAAAAGAUUAAAAUAAAACCCCUACAUUACUCGCACCACUCUAUUUAGUUAGAUUUUAUUCUGUCCCAGUUUGUCUACUUGCAUUAGAUUUGAGGGCACAGACAGCUAUCCCAAAAACAUCAGGAUAUAGCACAGUAAUCAUCUUUAAUUUUCCUAUUAUCUUAAUCUGGAGCCCUGUAUGACUUAUACUGUUUUAUCAUGACUGAUCUUAGUUAAAUCUGGUUUGUUUGAUUGCUGUUUGGUAUUGACAGAUUUUAUUCAAAACUGAUGUGAUUGAUAGUAUCAAGUCUGAGAGUAUAGGCAACUACACUGAAGAUGACAAGACUCAUUACCAUACACAUUCUGGUUUGAUUACUGCCUGCUUUUGAAGUUUUAUACUAUAUACAAAGUUGUGUUUUUAUUAAUACUGUUAUGUACUAAUAUAUUCAAUUAUACUAUUUCUGAUGAUAUGAUCAGUUCUAUUGAAGAUAACAAGAGACAACACAGGAACUAUGGUAGAACUCCUUGCAAAACGGUCUUAUAUGUCUUUUUUACUUUAUGUGUUUAUAGGAAUAUGUUUUGUUUUGUUUUCCUUUGUUUUGUUUCUCCCUCUAAUAUAGAAAGGAUAGAAAUACAUGUUAAGACUCAUGCAUGUGUAGAAUCUAUAAACAGUUUAUGAGAACUGAUCAUAUGACACAUGAUGAAAUGAACAAAUACUUUGAAGAAAAAGAGACACUAAAGUACCCAGUGCUGAUCUUGGAGUGUCAUGAUGCGAAAUCCAGUAAUACUAUUAUUCUUUUUCAGAAUGAUUUUAGCCUGCUUUAGUUCAUUUAAUCUCAACAUAAAUGAAGAUAUGGAUACCUCCUAUACUCUUAUGUUUAAGAGUAUAGGAUUGAUAAUUAUAUUACUAAAUUUUUGUUGGAUAGAUAGUGGAACAGAACUGUUUGCAGUCUCGCUGUUUGAAUUCCCACUUUCUAUGUUCCACUUUUGUAUUUUGAACAACUAUUUGUAAGAGGACAGUAUGUAAACAUCAACUAGUGAUUUCUUACUGUUUAUUUUUUCUUUCUACCCAUUUUCUGUUUUGUUUAGUCUUUCUUUAAAUAAAAUUUAAAAAGUGAAAUAUACAGAAUAAUAUGUAA